rnacentral:rRNA from 1 species
GACGAACGCUGGCGGCGUGCUUAACACAUGCAAGUCGAACGGAAAGGCCCUGCUUUUGUGGGUUGCUCGAGUGGCGAACGGGUGAGUAACACGUGAGUAACCUGCCCUUGACUUUGGGAUAACUUCAGGAAACUGGGGCUAAUACCGGAUAGGAGCUCCUGCUGCAUGGUGUGGGUUGGAAAGUUUCGGCGGUUGGGGAUGGACUCGCGGCUUAUCAGCUUGUUGGUGGGGUAGUGGCUUACCAAGGCUUUGACGGGUAGCCGGCAUGAGAGGGUGACCGGCCACAUGGGGACUGAGAUACGGCCCAGACUCCUACGGGAGGCAGCAGUGGGGAAUAUUGCAGAAUGGGCGGAAGCCUGAUGCAGCAACGCCGCGUGCGGGAUGACGGCCUUCGGGUUGUAAACCGCUUUGGCCUGUGACGAAGAGUGAGUGACGGUAAUGGGUAAAGAAGCACCGGCUAACUACGUG